rnacentral:rRNA from 1 species
AGGACGAACGCUGGCGGCGUGCUUAACACAUGCAAGUCGAGCGGAAAGGCCCUUCGGGGUACUCGAGCGGCGAACGGGUGAGUAACACGUGAGUAACCUGCCCUGGACUUUGGGAUAACCCUCGGAAACGGGGGCUAAUACCGAAUAUGACUUCUGCCCGCAUGGGUGGUGGUGGAAAGUUUUUUCGGUCUGGGAUGGGCUCGCGGCCUAUCAGCUUGUUGGUGGGGUGAUGGCCUACCAAGGCGACGACGGGUA